UUUGGCAAUGGUAGAACUCACUCUGGUGGGCUGGAAGGAUCCGGUGGUUCUAGACUUGCCAAC
rnacentral:miRNA from 1 species